GAUGAAGAACGUAGCGAAAUGCGAUAAGUAAUGAGAAUUGCAGAAUUCAGUGAAUCAUCGAAUCUUUGAACGCACAUUGCGCCCGAUAGUAUUCUGGCGGGCAUGCCUGUCCGAGCGUCAUUUCAACCCUCAAGCCCCCGGGCUUGGUGUUGGGGAUCGGCGAGCCUCCGCGCCCGCCGUCCCCUAAAUCUAGUGGCGGUCUCGCUGUAGCUUCCUCUGCGUAGUAGCACACCUCGCACUGGGAAACAGCGCGGCCACGCCGUUAAACCCCCAACUUCUGAACGUUUGACCUCGGAUCAGGUAGGAAUACCCGCUGAACUUAAGCAUAUCAAUAAGCGGAGGA
rnacentral:misc_RNA from 1 species